AGAGUUUGAUCCUGGCUCAGGACGAACGCUGGCGGCGCGCCUAACACAUGCAAGUCGAACGGGACCAUUUUAGAGUUUACUUUGGAAUGGUUUAGUGGCGGACGGGUGAGUAACACGUGAGCAACCUACCUUUCAGAGGGGGAUAACAGUUGGAAACGACUGCUAAUACCGCAUAACGUUGUAAAAGGGCAUCCAUUUACAACCAAAAGAGAAAUCUGCUGAAAGAUGGGCUCGCGGCCGAUUAGAUAGUAGGCGGGGUAACGGCCCACCUAGUCAACGAUCGGUAGCCGGACUGAGAGGUUGAACGGCCACAUUGGGACUGAGACACGGCCCAGACUCCUACGGGAGGCAGCAGUCGGGAAUAUUGCGCAAUGGAGGAAACUCUGACGCAGUGACGCCGCGUAUAGGAAGAAGGUUUUCGGAUUGUAAACUAUUGUCCACAGGGAAGAAAAAAGACUGUACCUGUGAAGAAAGCUCCGGCUAACUACGUGCCAGCAGCCGCGGUAAUACGUAGGGAGCAAGCGUUAUCCGGAUUUAUUGGGUGUAAAGGGUGCAUAGACGGGAUUACAAGUUGGUUGUGAAACCCCUCAGCUCAACUGAGGAACUGCAACCAAAACUAUAAUUCUUGAGUGCAGGAGAGGAAAGUGGAAUUCCUAGUGUAGCGGUGAAAUGCGUAGAUAUUAGGAAGAACACCGGUGGCGAAGGCGACUUUCUGGACUGUAACUGACGUUGAGGCACGAAAGUGUGGGGAGCAAACAGGAUUAGAUACCCUGGUAGUCCACACUGUAAACGAUGGAUACUAGGUGUAGGAGGUAUUAAGCCUUCUGUGCCGUCGCUAACGCAGUAAGUAUCCCACCUGGGGAGUACGACCGCAAGGUUGAAACUCAAAGGAAUUGACGGGGGCCCGCACAAGCAGUGGAGUAUGUGGUUUAAUUCGAAGCAACGCGAAGAACCUUACCAGGGCUUGACAUACAGAUGAAUGUCUAAGAGAUUAGGCAGUAUUUCGGUACAUCUGUACAGGUGGUGCAUGGUUGUCGUCAGCUCGUGUCGUGAGAUGUUAGGUUAAGUCCUGCAACGAGCGCAACCCCUAUACUUAGUUGCCAGCAUGUAAAGAUGGGAACUCUAGGUAGACUGCCGGUGAUAAAUCGGAGGAAGGUGGGGACGACGUCAAAUCAUCAUGCCCUUUAUGUCCUAGGCUACACACGUACUACAAUGGCUAUAACAAAGAGAAGCGAGACGGAGACGUUAAGCGAAACCCAAAAAAGUAGUCUCAGUUCGGAUUGAAGGCUGAAAUUCGCCUUCAUGAAGCCGGAAUUGCUAGUAAUGGCAGGUCAGCAUACUGCCGUGAAUACGUUCCCGGGCCU
rnacentral:rRNA from 1 species